ACGAUAACAAUGACGUCACACGCAGCACGCCGUUGCGCUAAAGUUGGCGAGGUAAUGGAGGAAGUAAGCAUUUUCGCUUUUCUUUCUAAAUGUUUGUGUAAUGGCAGCACCGAGAUGCAGCGUUUUGAAAAUUUUCGGAUGUCGAAGUGAUAGGACUUCCAGCUCUUUUCGGUGAGUCAGGAGAAUCGAGGGACUCGUUCGGGUUCCCAGGUGACUCCUUUUUGUUGUUGUUUUUCAAAAGCUGAAUAAAGUCAUCGGUCUUUGUGUUUUGUUGAGUACAAUUUAAAAAAUUCUGAUUUAUAUGAUGAGCUAAUAUUGUAAUACUUUGCAACAUAUUUAGACCACCGGGUUGUUGUCAAUUCACAUUUUUCACACCAGGACUUUUAUGGAAUCAAUUAAAAACACACCUUUUUUUCUGUGCUUUUAAUUGUUGGUAAUUGUACGUGUUCUUUUAUAUUCAUGUUCUUUCUUUUUUACUUUUCUUUUAUCUCUAUGUACAGCACUUUGUCCAGCUCAGGUGGAUUUUAAAUGUGCUUUAUAAAUAAAAUUGAAUUGAACAAUUAACAAAAAAACAGCUCGGUACUGUCAGGCGGCAAAACACUGGAUAUUACAGAAGUGAGCACAGUAUAAGAAGCUAGAGAUCCAAGAAAAGCAUGGUCAACUACACAACAAACCUAAAAAGACCAAUUAAGAUUAGAAAGCUGUGAAAGAUACAAUACCUGCUGGGUGCAGAACGGAAGAACUGCCGCUUUUUACAUCGCUGAUACGAAAGCACGAGAGAAAGCCUUUAUUUAAAGCGAUCGUCACAUGCUGUACUUAUCCAAUCAUGUCUGGAAGGAUUCAAAAUCACUGUUGUAUGUAUUUAUUCAUCAUUUAUUGUAAAUAUGCCACUUGGUUUUGUACAUGUAUGUUUGCACAAUGACAAUAAAUUUGAAUUGUAUCUAAUCAGA